AGAGAGAGAGAGCUGUAAUAACUACCCAGAACAAGAGAGAGCUGUAUUUAGCGAUGUAAUACUACUACCAGACAGAGAGAGCUGUAACUACUACCCAGAACAGAAACAGAGAGAGAGCUGUAACUACUACCCAGACACAGCAGAACAGAGCGAGAGAGGCUGCUACUAUACCCAAGAACAGAGAGAGAGAGAGAGCUGUAACUACUACCCAGAACAGAGAGAGAGAGAGCUGUAACUACUACCCAGAACAGAGA
ensembl:lncRNA